rnacentral:tRNA from 1 species
GGGCCAGUAGCUCAGUCGGUAGAGCAACGCACUUUUAAUGCGUGUGUCCCAGGUUCGAUUCCUGGCUGGCUCA